AGCGAACGCUGGCGGCAGGCCUAACACAUGCAAGUCGAACGAACCCUUCGGGGUUAGUGGCGGACGGGUGAGUAACACGUGGGAACGUGCCUUUAGGUUCGGAAUAACUCAGGGAAACUUGUGCUAAUACCGAAUGUGCCCUUCGGGGGAAAGAUUUAUCGCCUUUAGAGCGGCCCGCGUCUGAUUAGCUAGUUGGUGAGGUAAUGGCUCACCAAGGCUACGAUCAGUAGCUGGUCUGAGAGGAUGACCAGCCACAUUGGGACUGAGACAAGGGCCAAACUCCUACGGGAGGCAGCAGUGGGGAAUCUUGCGCAAUGGGCGAAAGCCUGACGCAGCCAUGCCACGUGGAUGAUGAAGGUCUUAGGAUUGUAAAAUCCUUUCACCGGUGAAGAUAAUGACUGUAGCCGGAGAAGAAGCCCCGGCUAACUUCGUGCCAGCCGCCGCCGUAACAC
rnacentral:rRNA from 1 species